rnacentral:rRNA from 1 species
CCUACGGGGGGCAGCAGUGGGGGAUAUUGCACAAUGGGGGAAACCCUGAUGCAGCGACGCCGCGUGGGCGAAGAAGUAUUUCGGUAUGUAAAGCCCUAUCAGCAGGGAAGAAGAAAUUACGGUACCUGACUAAGAAGCACCGGCUAAAUACGUGCCAGCAGCCGCGGUAAUACGUAUGGUGCAAGCGUUAUACGGAUGUACUGGGUGUACAGGGAGUGUAGGCGGCACGGAAAGCCGGAUGUGAAAGCCCGCGGCUCAACCGCGGGACUGCAUUGGGAACUACCGGGCUGGAGUUCCGGAGAGGUAGGCGGAAUUCCUAGUGUAGCGGUGAAAUGCGUAGAUAUUAGGAGGAACACUGGUGGCGAAGGCGGGUUGCUGGACAUUAACUGACGCUGAGGCACGAAGGCGAGGGGAGCGAAAAGGAUUAGAUACCCUGGUAGUC